GACAACACUUAGACAAUUGUGGGAAUCAUUCAUACACAUCAAGUAACAUUAGGGCGAACAAUAAUAUAAAUCUCAUUAAAGUGACAGAGAGUUGGCAUUUACCAACAAUCAUGGAGAUUGGAAUUCUCCUUUUGUCACUGUGAGCUGGUCCUCUAUUCUCGAUAUGGUAUGAUAACCUGGUUAACGGAGAUGUCUACACUAGAAUUCCCUAAUGGAAGGAAGAUGCUCCUCAUAGUUUGAGGCAAACGAUCUCACUUUCAGAGUUGGUUCAUUUGGUCCAAAGGAAGAUGCAUUAUGCAGUGACCAAUUUAGCAUGUGAUAAAAAGCUCCCUCUAAUUUAUUUGGCUGGAAAUUCUGGUGCUAGGAUUGGAGCAGCUGAAGAAAUAAAAUCUUGCUUUAAGGAUGGGUGGUCUGAUGAGGAAAAGUAGAUGACAAGUGGUGCCAUAGCCGGUGUUUAUUCAAAAGCAUAUAAUUAGAUAUUCACUCUCACUUAUGUGAGUGGAAGAACUGUCGGCGAUAUCUCGCUCGUCUUGGCUUGAGGUGCAUUCAACGUCUUGAUCAGCCAAUUAUCCAGGAACUCCACAUUGAACAAGCUUCUUGGACAUGAUGUCUACAACUGUCACAUGAAGUUGGGUGGACCUAAGAUAAUAGCAACGAACAUAGUUGUCCAUCUAACUGUAUUAGAGAUGAUUGUGAAGGCAUUUCUUCCAUUCUAAGAUGGUUUAGCUCUGUUACUCCUUAUGUUGGGUGCAAGAAAGGUUUAUGUGGAGAAGACAAAGACUGCCAGGAGGAAGUGAGGGAAUUGUUGCUGAAGGAGGAAACAACUAUCCGUCAUAGGAGCUUAUUCAGAAAAAUCUCUCAGUUAUGCUUAGGACUCUUGGUCAAAUGGCUAUUGCGAAUCUAAUAUUUACUCAUGGACAAUGGUUCUUUUUCAUGUCCUUGGUGUUAUUUCAGGCUUAUCAGCCACCAAUUGAGCCAUUGUUGAAUGAGUUAUGCCUAGGUAUCCAAGCUGAUCGAUUGGCCAACAAAGCAUCUGAUGAAGACAAGUAUGAUAUUGUGAGGGAAGGUGUUGUCACUUGAUCUCUUGCAAAACAUUUAGCAAAGAUGAUCCAAAAGUCCACAUUGUUGAAGAGCAAUUACUGGAUGUUCUAAACACUCCCUCAGAGGCAGUGCAGUCUCAGAUUGUUUAUCAUCAUUAAUGGCAUCUAAACAAGUAGGUAAUUUUGUGCAAUAUUAUUAUUUUCCCCUUUGAAAUAUUUAAUCCUUUGUUUUUUAUUGCUUUUUUUUUCUAUUUAAGAUGUAUUUCACCACUUUGUUGGUUAUUAUAAUUGCUUGGUAAUUCUUAUCCUUAUUUUUCUUGUUCGACAUGUAUUUUCAUUUUCUAGUCUUCCUCUGCAUUAUUAUUUAUUAGGAAGAUUGUGAGACACUUGUGUCUAGACUCAUAGAUCGAAUGAUGAAAAGUGAUAGAUAUGGAGAGAGUCGCGGUGUAGCCUUUGGUCUUGCUGGUGUAGCUAAAGGUUUUAGAAUAUUGUGAGGGAAGGUGUUGUGAUCUUCAGCGAAGC